CGUUGUUAAACCCCAUCAAAGAAGAACAGAGUAAUGUUGCCGCUACUCGGCCUGAAGUACUAGAAUAAAACUAUCUACUUGAAGGUGGAGAGGGAGUAAGAUCACAAGAACGUAGAAUGCUGCCAGACAGCCACAGGAUCGCUAGAGGCAUAUGCAUGCUGUGACAUGGGCCUGGAUGGUGACACAUAUGCUUCCAGCUGCCAGACUGAAUACUGGGGCCUUCAGUGGUACCUUACCUGACAUUACAGCAAGAGACUCCUUAUCUCUGUCUCGCAGCCAUUUAACAUCAACAUGUAUUUUAUGCAACCAGUCAUUCAUACAAACUGCUACAGACACAAUAACUGACUUAUAUUCACUUGUCUAUUUGUCCUAUUCUUCAGGCUUGUCUGGGAUAUAUAUUGUAGUUGGUACACCUGUGUGAAAUGCUCAUUUACAAGUCUUUAUAUACAUGAAUAAACAUGUAUUUAACCUGGA